UGGAUAGUAAAUACGUUUUCUACUGUUUUUGUUUAAUGUUUUAAACGUCCCCUUUGGACAAAGCCUUAAGUUUCUUCUUAACUAACGUUAUAUGACGACAUUUACGUUACUUCAAAGCCCAGUUAACUGUUAACUUAAAACGAGAUUAAUGUAAGUUAAAGUAAAUGCAUUCUUUGCAUUUUCAGAUUAUUAAAAUGAGAUUUUUGACAAUUACAGCCCGUAACAAAUCUCUGGUAAUUAAUUUCUGAAAACCAUUUUUUGUACACGAACAGUUAAAGCAGCCCAUCCCCCGCUGUACAUCAGUGCUGCUGGGUCAAAACAACCCCAUUCAUGGAUCAUCCGUCGCGGGGAUUUUGGAUCGUCAGAAGGAGAAAUACAGCAGGACUUUACAAGCAGACAUUCUUCAGCGGUUGUUUUCUGGUGAAAUAAAGGGGUGGCGAAUGUCGGUCGUGGAGAGCCGCAGUCCUGCAGAGUUUAGCUCCAGCUCUAAUCAAACACACCUGAACAGGUGGUCUGAGUUUCCAUGAGUUUCCUAGGCUAACUACCCCAGGCAUGAUUGCACAAGACUUUUACACAUUACACCAGGAUGCAGCUCCAAAACUCUUCGAGAAAUGGCUCCCUUGAUAUACCGAUAGGAUCUUGCAUUUUUCUAAACCAGAAGCAAAGCUUCCAUGUUCAGUUGAGGAGAUGACACAAGAUGCAAAGGGAUAUCUUGCAUUAAAGCUGCUCCCUGUUUUGCUUCCACCUCCACCCUUCAAAACUGCCAGAAAAAGUCCGGCCCAGCAUUGAUGAUGGCAAAAAAAGCUUUCAUCGACAUUCAGCCUGUUGGAACAAAUAUGAUGGAGUACCUCCAGCAGGCUGAAGCAUCAGGACUUCACCCUUAUUUCCUGUCACUUGAAAAUGGACACAUGAGUCCCAGGCAUUCGUCAUCCUUGGAGGAGAAACUUUGGACAAGGCACUUUGAUUGGGGUAGUAGAAGAACUACAUUCUUGCAAGUAAAUGACAAGAGGUUUUUUUUAAAUAGACUGGGUUUCAGGUACAAGAGUUAUCAUUUUAGGUUUUUUUAUAGACUUAAAGGUGCUCUAAGCGAAUCUGUGUGACGUUACUUUUUGUUGAUGUUUGAACUGUUUUGAAACAAACGAAGCGUAUCUAACUCCUUCCCUCCCUUCCGUGCUUUCAUGAACGCGCCCAACCCUCACCCCCAAAUGCUUCUUGUCGUUAAUUGGCUGGAACACUUUGUUAUCCUUUCUGGUAGUAGGUUUGGCCACUUUAUUUUUAUUGCAGUUUGUGGAGCUAGGCUGUCUACAGAGAUCACGUUUUUUACAGUUUGAUCAAAGGACAGGCAGCCAGCAGAUAGUGAGGAGAUGUUUGCUGUAUGUAACAAAAAAUGUUUUAUGGUCUAAAACGCGUGAAUUCGCUUAGAGCACCUUUAAGGAAGAGUAUUACUUGAUGAAUAUUAAUGACAUGUUUAUGAAAUGUUACACUGGCAAAAUGCUGUAUUUCAUAGUUUUUUUGUGUGUGUUCAUAAUGUAGACUAAAACAAUACUGCUUUGUAACAAACAGUUGUUCUUAAAGGUAUUUAAUGAAUUUCAUGAUUUUUUUUAAAUGUUAAAACAUUUAGGGGCGGUUUCCCGGAC